UUCCAGCCACGGCCUCGUGGCCUAGGGGCCGGCCGGCUCCCAUUUCCUCAAGCCCUUAAGGAUUUUCACAUGACCCUUGCCCCCCACACCCACCAACAGUGGACACAGAGGUCUACCGAGCUUCCCUCAAAAUACUUCGCCGAAACCCCCUGGCUUCCGCCCGUUGAUCGUGUUUCCACAACUCUGGUAACGAACUAUAGCAAGAGUCCCAGCCUUUGGAGGAGCAAUUGGAGAACGGAGCUCACCGGACAGGGGAAAGGCGACCUUUAGGACAUCGCGAGCCAAAGAAAAGAGAUCACCAGCUAUCCCCUCCACCUCCUCCCAAUCCUGAAGGAUGUUCCCAAACAAUACCCAUUCAAAUAGCACGGCUCGGGUUUUCCAGAUUUGAACAAUGGAGCCCAGGAGAGCAUUCCUGGGGUGAAAAACGGAGCGUCGUUCCGGAGAGGUCACCGGAAGACCUCGACCCAAACUCCACCGACCCACGGCGGGGAAAGUGAGACGAUCGUAAAUGGGGAUGGAAAGACCUGCCUGCCCUAGGUACGCGGGGAGCCCGAGGGCCACCGGCAGUGAGAACGGGGCUGGGGCUCGGUGCUCCGUUUGGCAGAUGGAUUGAGCAGCUUCGCUCAGAACAGGAACUCCCAAAAUAAAGCGCCCGCGAUACGUUUUUCCGA